rnacentral:rRNA from 1 species
GAUGAACGCUAGCGGCAGGCUUAAUACAUGCAAGUCGAGGGACAGCACAGGUAGCAAUACUGGGUGGUAACCGGCAAACGGGUGCGGAACACGUACACAACCUUCCUUUAAGUGGGGGAUAGCCCAGAGAAAUUUGGAUUAAUACCCCGUAAUAUAGUUGAAUGGCAUCAUUUGAUUAUUAUAGCUACGGCGCUUAAUGAUGGGUGUGCGGCUGAGUAGAUAGUUGGCGGGGUACCGGCCCACCAAGUCUACGAUCAGUAGCUGAUGUGAGAGCAUUAUCAGCCACACGGGCACUGAGACACGGGCCCGACUCCUACGGGAGGCAGCAGUAAGGAAUAUUGGUCGAUGGACGCAAGUCUGAACCAGCCAUGCCGCGUGAAGGAUUAAGGUCCUCUGGAUUGUAAACUUCUUUUAUUUGGGACGAAAAAGGGUCUUUCUAGGUCAACUGACGGUACCAGAUGAAUAAGCACCGGCUAACUCCGUGCCAGCCGCCGCAGUAA